UACGUAGGGGGCAAGCGUUGUCCGGAUUUAUUGGGCGUAAAGCGCGUGUAGGCGGCCACGCAGGUCCGCUGUGAAAACUCGAGGCUCAACCUCGAGCUGUCGGUGGAAACCGCGUGGCUAGAGUCCGGAAGAGGGGACUGGAAUUCCCGGUGUAGCGGUGAAAUGCGCAGAUAUCGGGAAGAACACCCGUGGCGAAGGCGGCUCUCUGGGACGGUACUGACGCUGAGACGCGAAAGCGUGGGGAGCGAACAGG
rnacentral:rRNA from 1 species